CGGACGGGUGAGUAACGCGUGGAAAACCUGCCGUAUACUGGGGGAUAACACUUAGAAAUAGGUGCUAAUACCGCAUAAGCGCACAGUAUCGCAUGAUACAGUGUGAAAAACUCCGGUGGUACAGGAUGGACCCGCGUCUGAUUAGCUGGUUGGCGGGGUAACGGCCCACCAAGGCGACGAUCAGUAGCCGGCCUGAGAGGGUGAACGGCCACAUUGGGACUGAGACACGGCCCAAACUCCUACGGGAGGCAGCAG
rnacentral:rRNA from 1 species